CGCGAUACAGGGUGACAGCCCCGUACACAAAAGCGCAUGUGCUGUGAGCUCGAUGAGUAGGGCGGGACACGUGGUAUCCUGUCUGAAUAUGGGGGGACCAUCCUCCAAGGCUAAAUACUCCUGACUGACCGAUAGUGAACCAGUACCGUGAGGGAAAGGCGAAAAGAACCCCGGCGAGGGGAGUGAAAAAGAACCUGAAACCGUGUACGUACAAGCAGUGGGAGCCCCACCACCAAAGCAUUCUCUGGUGUUGAAGGCCCUGCAAAGCAGCAUCGCGGUGGCGGAGCGUCGUUUGCGACGCCCAACACACAAAACAAGCGGUGAGUGCUUUGGGGUGGGGUGACUGCGUACCUUUUGUAUAAUGGGUCAGCGACUUAUAUUCUGUAGCAAGGUUAACCGAAUAGGGGAGCCGGAGGGAAACCGAGUCUUAAUUGGGCGUUAAGUUGCAGGGUAUAGACCCGAAACCCGGUGAUCUAGCCAUGGGCAGGUUGAAGGUUGGGUAACACUAACUGGAGGACCGAACCGACUAAUGUUGAAAAAUUAGCGGAUGACCUGUGGCUGGGGGUGAAAGGCCAAUCAAACCGGGAGAUAGCUGGUUCUCCCCGAAAGCUAUUUAGGUAGCGCCUCGUGAAUUCAUCUCCGGGGGUAGAGCACUGUUUCGGCUAGGGGGCCAUCCCGGCUUACCAACCCGAUGCAAACUGCGAAUACCGGAGAAUGUUAUCACGGGAGACACACGGCGGGUGCUAACGUCCGUCGUGAAGAGGGAAACAACCCAGACCGCCAGCUAAGGUCCCAAAGUCAUGGUUAAGUGGGAAACGAUGUGGGAAGGCCCAGACAGCCAGGAUGUUGGCUUAGAAGCAGCCAUCAUUUAAAGAAAGCGUAAUAGCUCACUGGUCGAGUCGGCCUGCGCGGAAGAUGUAACGGGGCUAAACCAU
rnacentral:rRNA from 1 species